UGUCAUGGGAUGGGAAUCGAACCCACAGUGUUCCGCUUACCGGGCAGAUGCCAUGUCCACUAGGCUACCCUGGAC